rfam:Aedes albopictus isolate Foshan contig108887, whole genome shotgun sequence.
GGCUCGGUAGCUAAGUCGGUAAAGCACUAGUGUAGCAUAUAAGGGUCGUGAGUUAAAAUCUCACUUGAGCUG